AUCAAUUUCUUUCAUUUUCCAUUCCUGUUAUUUUAGUAAACCAGAAUGUAUCAGUACUUAAAUAUAGCUGUUAAACUCAAAUCAGGGUAAAGUCUCAGUGACUAUCAAUUGACAAAUGGCAGAUUGAAUGUUUCAUUGGAUUUUCUUGUCAUAAUGGCAGUUGCCGAAAUGUAAUUUGAAUGCAUUUUGCCUAAUGGAUAUUUUCUUACCUAAAUUGGUAGGUUCGAUGUCAUACGACACAAUUUAAUUGCGGUUGGGUGUUCUGUUGGCAUUCACCUAAAUGUUACUUUCUAUGAUAUUUCUAUGUUUGUGCAAAAUGCAGUUAGUCGAUUGGUAUGAUGGCUACAUAUUUCUGUGCUUGAUCUGUAUGUUACUAUUUAUAGGUAGCAAUGGCCUAGAAAAGAUUAAUUCAUGAUCUUUCUUGUACCAGAAGGGCAGGGACUGGCACUACUGCAGAUAUGAUCGGGCAGUUUAGAAAAUCGCUACGUUAGGAAGGAAGAUUUAUUAAUAUUUUCUCUUCAACAUCAUUUUAGCAUAACUAAACAAUUGUCUUGGAAAUUUUGUUAAUACUUCGAACACUGAUUAAACAUGAGUCGCAAUCAACUUCAGGGCGAAUUGGGUGGCCAAUUUGGUGGACAACUAACUGGUCUCUCGACAUUAUACACUGUAGAAGCCCUGGAGAUGCUGUUGUUGCCCAUGGCAAAAGAUGGUACUGAGGCUCUUGGCUCAAUGGGAAAUGACGCUCCUUUGGCUGUGAUGUCCAACAGAGAGAAACGUACAUUUGAGUAUUUCAAGCAGAUGUUUGCUCAGGCUACAAACCCACCGAUUGAUCCGAUUCGAGAGAAAAUAGUCAUGUGGAAGGGGACCUUGCUGAAA